GAGAGUUAAACAGUACGUGAAAUUGUUGAAAGGGAAACGAUUGAAGCCAGUCGUACCUUCGGGUAAUCAGCCUUUCGGGUGCGAUUCUGUGGAGUUUGAGGAGCUUAACACCUUCAUGCUUUUGCAUAUUCGUACUCUUGGGUGUACUUGCCCGUGUGGUUGGUUAACAUCAAUUUCGGGCACCAUAAAAUGGCUGGAGGAAUGUAGCUUCGAUCUUGUAUUGAAGUGUUAUAGCCUUCGGUAGAUGUGGUGAUCGAGAUUGAGGAUUGCAACGGAUACCUUUCGGGGCUACCUGUCUGAUCUCUGAUCGUUGCUUUGGUGCUGAAAGCGUGCUUAUAGUUAUUAAAGUCGAUGGUCAAUAGGUUAGAAUGGGUUAAAUUCGUUAAGGAUGUUGACGUAAUGGCUUUAAACGA
rnacentral:rRNA from 1 species